AGAGUUUGAUCCUGGCUCAGGAUCAACGCUGGCGGCGUGCCUAACGCAUGUAAGUCGCACGCAGGUCCUUCGGGACUUGAGUGGCGAACGGCUGAGGAACACGUACGAACCUGCCCGACCGUGGGGAAUAACGCGCCGAAAGGCGUGCUAAGACCGCGUACGCUCCCGCUGCUUGCAGCGGGAGGAAAGCCGCAAGGCGCGGACGGAGGGGCGUGCGGCCCAUCAGGUCGUUGGUGCGGUAAGGGCGCACCAAGCCGAUGACGGGUAGCUGGUCUGUGAGGACGAUCAGCCAGACUGGGACUGAGACACGGCCCAGACACCUACGGGUGGCAGCAGCGAGGGAUCUUCUACAAUGGGCGCAAGCCCGAUAGAGCAACGCCGCGUGGAGGACGACGGCCUUCGGGUUGUAAACUCCUUUCGGGGGGGAUGACACGGACAGUACCCCCAGAAGCAGCCCCGGCUAACUCUGUGCCAGCCGCCGCGGUAAUAC
rnacentral:rRNA from 1 species